UUGAAUUCAUAUCCAUGCAAUUGCAACCUCCAAGUAUAAAUUGAAUUCCACAUGUUGAGCAGUAGUGGUGAAGAGAGACUCAAAUGUGAGGAGAGUGUUAGAAUAUAAAAUAAUUGUUGUCCCACUGCUCAUUAGCUUAAGCCUUUUGUAAUAGUAGUAAACCAGUGAAAUUUAUCGAGGACAAAAUUAGGUUUUUUCCCUCUUGUAGGUGUCUUUGGCUAUCAUUUUUGGGGUCUAACCCCUUAGUGUGAUUCAUCUUGAUUUGGCUUGAGCUUUGUGUUUAGUGUAGCUUUGUUUGUAUUGUGUUUUUAGUUGGUUUUCCCUAAGUGGACGACUUGUCAUCCCUUUUUUUGUACUUUUUUGGGUUUUGUAGGGAGUUAGUGCAAGUGCACUUAACCACAAGGGCCUUUUUUCUACUAUUUUUUUUUUCCUUUAUUAACAGUUCUUUUUUUUUUUUUUGCCUAUUAAAUUCUUGUUUCCUGUAGAAGAAUAAGUUUUUAAUUACUAAAUUUCUAUUACUACGUCUAUUUCAUUAUGCACUUUUAUGCAUGAAUGUAAUCAUUUGAGGUUGAUGUCUCUGAAUUAUUGCCCCAUGAAGCUGGGAACUGGACUGAGCAUAAUGAUCUCAAAAAGAAAUCCAUCAUUGAUUACUACAUUUGGCCUCCUUUCAUGUGGAUAUGUUCUCAGCUCCUAUCAAGAGGUUUGAAUGUGUACACUAGUGUAGAUUGAUUUGGUUUUGCAUGUUUCCAUGUCGCAUUUGUUUAACAGAAGUUAUUUGUUUUCAGGUUAAAUCUGUAGUAUUGCACACCUUGAACCGAGCAAGAUUCAGUGUGGCAGUAGAUACCUUUCUUAAAACAGGUUAGCAUUAAUGUUCUACCCUAGAUACCAUUUUCCCUUGAUGCAUCCUUUUCUGUCAUCCAGGAUAUUCGUAACAGCUAUGCCUUAGUGUAUUUUUCAGAUAUAUAUUGUAAUUAUGCAUUUUUUUCCACUUCUAGGGCGAGUUCCAUCACUGCAAGAGGGAAACUUCAAUGAAAACGUUUUCAGAUUUCCCUGGUUGAAAGAGGGGCCUGUUGUUCUUGGUAUGCUUGCAAAGAUCUUGUUUUCUUUGUCCUUUUAAUUCUGAAUUGUGAUCAUCUUGUUUCUGGGUUCAACUUUAUUUUUUUUUCCUUUUUCCCUUCUGUUAUCUUUUGCUUUUAUUUACUUUUUUUUCAUUUUCCAUACUGGGUGGCAGGGCCAAGAUUUAAAGAUGCAUUCCAAGAGCCAAAUGUCUAUCUUGCGAUAGAGCCCUUCUUUGAGGUUGGCCCUCUUGGAGAGGGGUUGAAUUUUGGAAAUCAAUCUCUCUCUCUCUCUCUCUCUCUCUCUCUCUCUCUCUAUAUAUAUAUAUAUAUAUAUAUAUAAAUAAUUUUGCAUUGUUGUAAUAUUAUCCUAAUCAAUCUAUCUAUCUCAUUAGUAUUGCUUUUCUUGAUUGAUGACAGAAAGAGAGAUAUGUUGUCACUUAUAAUCCAAAAAAAGGUAAAGUAUACGCAUUGUUCAAAGAUCAAGCGAAGUCAGAUGACAUUCUAAAAGCGGCAUUUCAUGUGAGAUGUUCAGCUUAUUUAUAUGGUCUAUUUGGUGUCUUGAAAGGUGUUUUCUUCAUACAGGGGAUGUAAGAUGUUAUAUCACUUUGCAUUACAGGCACAGGUGCUUUUGCAUUUCAUGCAUUUAUCUUUUGACAGUCAGCAUCUGUCUCAGAAAGAGAAGACAGGUGGAUACUUAAACUUUGAGCCUACAGCUAAAGAUCUGGAGGCAUGUAUUGUUGAGUCAUAUAGGAUGGUCUCAACUUCAUAUGGGAUUUUCAAGAGUAAAGCUGCAGAGCAGGUAAUUGGUGUUCAAGAUUGGUAAUUUUAAUCAUUUGUGACAUUCAGUUGGCCAGUUUGGCAGGCUUAUAGUACAAAUGCUCACAGAUUUACACCUUUGUCACGACUCACGAGAAAAAUAUAUAAAAGUAAGGAAGAUGAUGUCUUGCCAAACAGUCUAAACAGGUUAUAUUGUGAGUCAAUCCAUCAGAACCAUUGAUAAGGUGGAUACCUUUUUUACUUUAUGGUCUAAGUUAAUACUUUAACAACAUAACAUGUGUAUUAUUUGACAAGAGAAUGUUACUGUCAACUUUAGCAUCCUGAGAUCUAUUCAGUGAUGCAGUGGAUGUGGUUCAAUUGUUUGUUUGCAUAACUGGUUAUUCACCUUGGAGUUUUAUCCAAAUGGCCUGAAGGAUUUUUUAGGUAUAAUUAUUGCUUUUAUUUUAAGUGGUUUCUGGGCUCAGUAUAAGCUUAAUUGAAACAAUUGUAUUAUACCAAGAUUUAAGUGGUUUUUAGGUAUGAUUUAUAAUUCAUAUUUUGAGUUGUAUCCAAUUGCAUUGCUGUUGUAGGUGUUGCAUUAGAUAAGGAUAUAAGGAUAUUGGUUUUCCGUUUGGAAACAGCCAGCUUAAGUUUUCUUCUUUGUUACAAUAAACACCUUAAAAACCAUUUGGUGUUUUUCCUCGAAAAUAUUACAGUGGACACCUAGCCUAGGUAGAAAAUUACAGAGGCAGCCUAAGUAUUUGGACUGCUUACACUUUUCCAUUUUAGUUCUAUGUGUGUAAGGAUAUAUGUAUGACAUUUGUUAUUGAUGUUAUAUCGGUGAUUUUUUAUAUAUGUAUAUAUCUUUUUAAAUCAGAAAGUCACUUGAAAAGAUUAUACUUCUCUUUUUAUUUUAUUUUUUAUUUUAACAUGGUUAUAAUCUAUCUUCCUGUAGGGGUGGAUGAUGUCAGAAGCACAUCUUAAUCCUGGCCGAGCUCGUCUUAUCAAGUGAUUAAUUUGGACAAUAUGCUGGUACUUAAUUUCCCUGCAAAGGCUUUAACAUAUAAAGUAUGGACAGCUUUAAUACUUGUUACAAACAUACAAACAGAAGAUGCAAAAGAGGGGUUAAAAGGGCUUGUCACCACAAUAUCAUAUCACUGGGACCAUGGGAAACAUUUGUCUCAUUACGCCUGUCGGAUCUAGGUCGAGCUUUGCUCGGUGGAACAAAGACUUAAAAUGAAGAUGGCAUGGUGCAGUUUAUAAGCUGUAGAAAUGAGUGGUAAGUAGAUGAUGGAUUAAUGCACACGGGACGACAUUGUAGAGUUCUCUUCUCUUUGUAGAGUUUGCCCUGAGUUUUGCUUUCUUAGUUAUAAGUUUUUUUUUGUUCCCUCUGUUUCAUUUUUGUCACGUUUGGCCUUGUCAAUAUACGUAUGGUGCACGUGCAGAAGAAAGAAACCCAUGAAAUCCUUGUAUAAAUAUAAAUGAAUGAAUUUUUCGUUUGUCCAUUACUGCAGAGUUGAUAAUAAUAGCCACUUUUUUUCAUUGAAUGACAGUCACUGUUAUUUUUCUUUCUGCGGGUGUAGAAUGAUGUGAAAACUGGACUUUUCUGUGCUCUCUUCUCUUCCUUCUCAGGAAACAUGUCAUCCACUUAAUUCAAUUGUGUUUUGUUUGGCCAAGUAAAUUGUAAUGAAGAAGCAUUUUAUUCCGUUAAUCUAAUUCUAAUUCUAGUUCUAAUAUGAGGAAAGGGAGGAAGAGGACAUCCUCUUUGUUGAUUUGAGUCACAUCGCUGUCUGCCACUGCUUCUCUCUCUCUCUGACAUGUUGCAUGUGUGUGUGUUUGAGCAGCAUCGUCUCGUCUUGUAAAUAACAGCAUUCUAUUUUAAUUUAUGAGUUCCUCCCUCUUUCUUCGCUGCUAAAUAAACUUUUCAAGAUGCAUUCUAAAGUUACUCUUACUCGCCAGGUAAAAGCAAAAAAAAAUAAAAUAAAGAUUCUGUGGCUUUUGUUUUUUACCUGCAAAUUUGCAAUACGUGUUAGUUUUUCUAUUGAAUUCGUUCCAUGUAGUUUUGAAGAUGCAUUUCCAGUGCGCGGCCAGCUAUUAAAUAUGGCUCACAAGAUCAUGGAGCUCUUAAAUAAAGAGAGAGAAAUGUUAUUCCGCAUAGGAUUGAAAUACAUUGUUGGACAUCAUUACUAAUGUAGUACAUCCUUAACGUAGAAAACUUCAAGGACCGUUUGGUUCAAGUUUUAGGAGUUUGAGAUGGGUUUGAAGUUGCAUUCCCAUGUAGGGGGAAGUUCAUACCCUUGGCUGAAUUUAGGAUAUUUUUCUUCCCACUGGGGGGAAACAUUGAAUGCAAGUUUUUGUGACUAAUUUAUUAUAAUUUGCAUUCCAAUGUUUGGUAAGCAUUUAAUGUAAGUUUUUUUCAAGGGUAUUGUUGGAAAACAAAACAAUUUAUCAUUCCUAAUAUUGCACAAACCAAACAUGAAAAUGAGAGAAAAUGGUCUUUCUUGAUCCUUAUUUCCCAACAUUCCUAAACACGGAAAUAAAUAUCUUUCAUUCCUAUCUCGUAGAAUUAAACAUGGGAAGUUGAAACCCUAACCAAACCGGCCCUCAGUGUUCCACAAUAGUAGAAGGCAUAAGUAGGACUAAGAGAUGCAUAUGUGUAAUGAAAGAAGGUCAGAGAAGCACCAUGCAUGUGAAAAAGCAGAGAGCACUUAAUAUUAAUUUGGCAGGUGGUCAGAUGUGGUCAGAUAUGAUCAUCAGAGGUGUCUAGAACUUUAAAACUAAACGUAGAAUUAAUGAUGCAUGUGAUGUGGAACAGAAGAUGUAUAAAUAUUCCGUAUUUCACAAGCUGUUUAUUUUUAAAUUCAUGUUAUGUACUGUUGUUUGUAAUUUUGUGUGCGACGGAGGGAAGGGGACGGAGCAGUGAAUGUGAAACUGAAUUGGAGUCUCAAAUCUUUGUUUGGCUUUGGGUGUUGUCAUUUAAUAUGCAAUAUCAUUUUCUUCUUUUUGGCAUUGAUCGAGGCAUUAUUAAUUAUACUUUUUUGCUUUUCCUUUUCAUUUCUUUUUGUAUUUUCUUAUCUCUGUUUCUGUACCGAAGAACAUUCCUGCACCACAAACAAUAUGCAUCGAAACAGAAAGUGGCUGCCUUUUCUUGCUGUUUUUUCUUUACUUUAAUAUCACGUACGUACCAUUUUUCUGAUUUUUCUUUUGCUCAAAACAAUUGAAGCAUUUUGUAUUUAGCUAGCAAAUCUUCUAGACCAGCAAUAAAUAACCCUCUCUCUCUCUCUCUCUCUCAAUGUUAUCAACUUUCCCAUUUAAAUUUUCUCCGUUCUUUUCAUGACAAGUGUUAUUUUUCUUAUACUAAAAAUAAUAUUAUUAAAGCAUCACACAAGUCAGUUUUUAUUUACCAAUCUAGUUUUUGUUUUCCUUCCUUGUUGAAAACUAUAAACUCCCAUGUCAUGAAUUUGACAAAUAAAAUAUAGUAGAUAAUUGAAUAGUUCAACUAAUAAUAAUACUUAAGGUCUUUUUUAAGAAAUAAAAUUUGACACAUAAUGAGAUACGCAGGUAAUUAAGUUAGAAAUAAAAACAAAAUCAAUGUUGGAUUAAUUAUUCAUGUGGACAACAAAUUCAUCUCUUUGAAAUUUUAACAUGAUAUCAAAGCACGCACAAAUCCAAAGUUUUAGGAGAAAAGAACAAAAUUCAACACAUUGUUUUGUCAUCAUCUUGAAAUACUUAAAUUUUUUAAAAAAAAAUACAAGUGAUGCCCUAAACUACAAGGGAUAAAGGAGUUUCUUACACUCAGGCACAAAAAAUAAAAAAAGAAUUUCUUACACACAUUAGGUGCUAUGGGGGUUCGAACCUAAGACCAUUGAUAUGCAAAUGAAGGCUCUUUACAAGAAAUUUCAAUUUGGUCACUGAUAAAAUAAUUUAGCUAAAUUGAUCACUGUAUUUUCUCAGUGACCAAAUUGAAAUUUCGUAUAAAACCCACAAAAAUAUAUUUAACCCAAAUUUUCUCUCUCUCACACACAUAUACACACUAUCAAGGUGCCAUAGGCUUCCAACAAAUCUUAGAGGGUAGUAUUUAGUACAUUGAUUAUUUUUUUAUGAAACUCAUCAAACUUUGAAACGGAAUGAAUUUUUAACUCACAAUGCCAAGAUCCAUUGUUAAAAGAAAUCAAGGUUCAUAGUUCUAACAAACAUGAACAAAAAUUAUAACCGCCAGCAAGACCCGUGGUUGAUAUAUACCUCUUCUUUUCUUUCCUUUUUUUUUUUUCCUUUGUCAGCUGGAUUCUUAGGUAUUAGUUACUAGAAAAUAUAACACAUAUAAUAUAAGUCCCCUUUCAAUACUGGACAAGAACAUGAACUAGCUAGCCACAACUCACUACUAAAACCCAAUUUUCAAAAACUACAUUGCAUAACCACCAAUGCUAUUCCAUAUAUAUAUAUAAAGAAAACUUACGAAAAAUAUCAAAGAGGAAAAAAUUAUAAAAUAAAAGAGAAAAAGACAGGGUAAAUUAAAUAUGAUAAUCAGUAAUAUAAGCUAACUACUGGUAGAGUUAAGCACAAACCGAAAGAGGAUGAUGAGAGAGAUGGUAAUGAAUUUUUUAAUUGAUAUUAAGCAGGUGGGGGUGGGGGUGGUGGGGGAUUCUUCUUGGCAAGAUUGUGUUUAUUGUUGUGCAUCCAAACCUUAAGAACUCUUCUUUUGACCCCAAUCUCUUGGCAGAAGUUUUGUACCACAGAGUCUUCUUGCUUCUGAAUCUUCCACCCAACUUUCUCUGCAAAGUUGAACAUUUUUUCCUUCUGCUCCUGUGUAAACUUGGUCCUGAACCUUUUCUUUGCUAGCUGUGCUGCUGCUGGCCUGCCCACAGCCCCACCACCAUCAUGCUCCUCCUGUUCAUCAGACUCUGAAGGGAGGGCCCCCAUCCCCAUCCCCAUUCCCAUUCCCAUUCCCAUUCCCAUGUUGUAAGACAUUAUCAUCUGGUGGGGUGCUGCUGCUCUUGAUGAGGGCAUUGUAUGGUACCCUAAACCCUCUUGGGGGGCUGCUAUUAAAUUCUUGUGAUGGCCAGGGCCUAAUAGGAACUUCCUGCUUCCAACCCCAACCCUGUUGAUAGUAUGAUGAAAGUUAUGAUCCCAAGAGGAGGGGAAGGGCUGCUGCUCACCUUCUACUUCUUUUCUGUGGAAGUUUCUGUGACAGUUGCAGGCUGAGCAGUUGAGAGCUUCAAUGGUGCCUUCUUCUCCACUGGGCAUGAAUUCACCACACCCAUCAGUUGCAGUCCCUCCCAUGGCUGCUGCAUGGUUCUUGAGACACUCUUUGUACCUCACCCCCACUUUCUUACAGCUGUAGGGCACAAUGUUCACAUGCUCCUCCUCCUCAUGAUGAGGAUGAGAAUGGGGGUGAUGGUGAUGAUGAUCUAGGCUUGUGGGCAUGGAAGAGCCAUUAGUGUUGGAGGGGUUUUGAUUUUGGGGCACUGCUGAGGAGGGAAUCAAAUUGGAAUGGUUGUGGGGCACUACUGUUGCUGCUGCUGCAGGGUCAUGAUGAUGAUGAUUAUGAUGGAUCAUGUGCCCAUGCCCAUGCCCACCACCAUAGGAACUAUUUAUUGGGAUUGGGAUCUCCCCAGCUUCUUGACUUGAAAGUUCCAUUAUAUAAUCAGUCCUAGCUAGAUCUUUCUCUUUUUCCUCUAGGUAUUAUUUUAAUGAUUUGGGUCUUGUUUGUUUGGUAAUUGGAGACCAAAAGAGAAGGAACAAGAGAGAGAAUUAGGAGGCUCGGUUUGAACUUGAAUGAUUAGAACUAAAAAGUUGUUAGUUUUUGGCUCCUCAAAUACCUAGGAGUUUAAUUUUUUGACAAUUAUGCUCUCUAGCUUUUAGUGAAGCAAACAAAAUCGAGAGGGGAGAGAAGAGGGGAAAGAAAGUUUGAACUCUGGGAUAUGGGGCCUCCUCCUAGGGCUAAUAUUAAAUCCUUUUGAUCAAAGAACAAAGUGCCAAUUAAAAGGUCAUCAGCCACCUCAACUUUGAAUAUACAUAUCCAUAUAUAUGUACAUAUAUCAUCAGCUGAUCUCAACUUAGAAGGAAAGAGAAAGAACAAGCAAAGACUAGUGUACUGCACCCAGAAAGUUGGAAACCAAUCUAAGCAAAUCAAACCACCUUUUCUCUAUAGACUCAACAUAUCUCUAUCAUUUGAAAGAGAUACACAUAGAGGGGGGAGGAGGGAGGGAGUGAAGGGGGGUCACCACUCAAAGACUUCCCAAGAAGGAAAAUGAUGGUUGGAAAAUUAAUAAGAAGAUGAGACAAAGCUAGUAGAGAAGUAAACCUAUUUUUUCUUUCUUCCUUUUGGAUCCCACUAGAAAUAGAAAUCGAGAAAGAAAGAAGGAAACAGCAGCAGGAUCAACACGCCGACUUCCCUUUGAGAAUCUUGCUCAUGAGCUUAAACAGUAGCAAACAGCACCUUCCGUUUCCAUAGCAGAUUAAAGCCAAACUAAGAGGAUGUAAGAAAGAGAAGACAGUCUCUGGCUAAAAAUGGGGGAGAGAAACAAAUCAUGAAUUACUAGUGGACAAAAGAAAAAAGAGUAAACUGAUUUAUUAAUUUGGAGUGAGUUAGUGAGUGGUGAAGAGAAGAGAGAGGGAUAUGAGAAGAGGGAGAGGAGAUAGUCAGAGGGAUAGAGAGAAAGGGAAUAGGUAUAGCUAAUGGCUUAGCUAGCUAGAGAGUGCUAGAACUUAGUUUUGGAGGUGGGUUUUAGCUAGUGAAGCACUAAAUAUUAAUAUCGGCUUACACACAGUACGGUGAGUAGUGAUGAGGGGCCCAAAUAAGAGAGAGAGAGAGAAAGCAGUGCUUUUUUUACAGACAAAGAGGAAUACACAGUGAGUUUUUGGAGAAGCGAGUUCAAAGGGCACCCCAAAACCAAAAAAAAAGAAGAAAAAAGUGGGGUGCUUGCUUAAAGCAUUGCUUGCACUAUCAGGCAAGUUUACGCCACCUAGAGAGCAGUGUGUGUCAGAGAGUGGAGAGGAGGACAAAGGAAGCCAGAAUACAAUGCCAAGGAGAGAGAGAAGAGAGAAGAGAGAAGAGAGAAAGAGAGAGAGAGAACCAAAAGGAAUUAUGAAAAGUAAUGUUACAUGCCCAAGGGAAAAUUAGCAAAAAUCUUCCUCUUGAUAUUGUAUAGUUGUAUUUUUAUAUUAUGUGUAUGCUGGACUUAGAAUUUAAAAACCGCUUGAACAUUCUUUUCCUACCUUUGGUCUUCAGUCUUCACACUCUCAAAUGCAGCUCCUAAUCAAGAUCCAAUAAUAAAUAAAUAUAUAUAUAUAUAUAUAUAAGUGUACAAAAUCAUGCAUACAACUGCUACUGCCCCCACUGUUGGGUUCGGCUGCAUGCAACAAUUUGGCUACUUACAAAAAUAAAUAAAUAAAUCUAGUGUCCUCAUUCACCCUUGUGAGUUAAAAGAAAGUAUCAUGCUACUCAUGUGAACCAUUUAUUAUCAAAUUAUCUAAAUUAGAGAAAUGCUUGAAGAGCCUUACUUUGUUUCGUAUUUCACAUAUUUAAUUUGUUCAAGAAAUUGGAGGCACUCUUCUGCGAAUUUUAAUGCUGACCAGUCAGCAAAAUUCUAAUAUUGUUUGUGUCUCUCCCAUGCUUUUCUUACCUUAACUAGCUAGCAAAAACUAAAUGAAGUUUUCUCACAAUAGAUACAUAUUCUUAAGCUUCUUAUACAUUCAAUUGUUUGAAUAUCUGAAUUUUUCAUGAAUGAGGCCGAGUAGAUAGGAAAGAAUUGUGCUUUAAGCAAGCCUAAUCGCUAAGCAAAAGGAUUCGUGCUCAAGUUAGGUUAAAGUCUUCUAUAAAAAGAGGUUACAAGGUAAUGAUGACAAUUUGUUUCAAAAUAUUAGGUUUUUCAAGUGCUAAUGAUGAGAUGCUCGCAAUUUAUACAAUAUUUUGAUCUACGCUCGAGACUAAACAGAGAACGCCACCUAAUCAUAAUUUUGUAUAAUGUAAUAUUCACUUAUUAAACUUGUGUAGUAUGUUUGUUGUCACACUCUCAAUUUAAACUACAUAGAAAAAAACUAAUUUAAUAACAACAUUUCUUGCUAAACUUUAAUGUGGGUAUAUUCAAGAUCACAAGUGUUGUUGUUUCAUGCAUCAAAUAAGGGAUUACUCAAUACGGCAAUGAUGUCCCCUUGGAAAACAGAGAUCAUGACAAUGCCAAAUCAAUUCAUACAGAUUCAUCACAAUCACAUGAAAUAUGAGAGAGAGAGAGAGAGAGAGAGAGAGAGAGAGAGAGAGAGAGAGAGAAUAGUUCAACUAUCUAAUCCAACAGUGAUGUAUAGUACCACGAAUCUUAGCAGUAUGAUUACUUUAGAGUUUGAUAUUAAUGAAUCCUAGUAAAAGUAGUAAUCUGAAUUUUAGUAAUAUAUAUAUACUAUAUUUUAUAAUGCAUGGAAUAGCCAAUGUCUGGUAUACUUUCCUAGAGUGCCCUGAGAGUUGAGAGUUGAGAGUUGAGAGUUAGAGUGCCCUGAGAGUUGAGAGUUGAGAGUUGAGAGUUGAGAGUUGAGAGUUUAGAGUUUAGAGAGUUUAGAGUUUAGAGUUUAGAGUUUAGAGAGUUUAGAGUUUAGAGUUUAGAGUUUAGAGUUUAGAGUUGAGAGAGUGCUGGAAAUUACCACAAUGUUGUUGUCCGGUAAAGUUUUUCUUUACACAUUCUGCACUGCAGGGAGAAAUUAUAUAUAUCUUUUAUAUUUAAAAAAUUUAAACUUUAUUCAAAUCACUUUAUUCUUUUAUUAUCUCUCCUUUAUUCCAAUAUCGACACCACAUUUAAGUCCUUUAUCCAUCUUUAGCUUUUUGUUUUUAUGUUUGUUUGUCUCUUUUUCUAGUAAUUCUUUGUUGCUCUUCGUUCAGUCUUUGAAUUGCAUACUCUUCUCUCUCUCUCUCUCUCUCUCUCUCUCUCUCUCUCUCUCAACUUUAACCCGCAUGACUUGAAAUACAUGUUUGGUUCAGUCCAAAAGAGAAAAAACAAACAAACAGAAGAACAAUAUAUAUCAUACAUCUUAAUUAGAUACACAAACACAAAGUAGCCUAUAGCAAGCUAAUUUUGCAUAGCAUUUUCAAUUAUAAAAUGGGACUUUUAGUAAAUUAUUUUAAACCCUAGGAGCUGAUAAUCAUAUAAAAUUGACUUUUUCAUUCGGUUCUGUGGGAAUUGAAUGUGAGAGUGAGUGAGACAGAGAGAGAGAGAGAGAGAGAGAAAAAAAAAAGGAAGGAUUAAUUAUGUACUGCCGGGAGAAUGGGCCACAAAAAUAAAUGGUAUUGAUGACACAUGAUGCAGCUUGAUCACAAUUUUCAAGAUGCCUCUCAGAGCCCAAAAAUUCUCUUUUUCUUUUUAAUCGGAAAAAAACAAAAUUUGAUUCCAUCCAUCUCCAUCAGUCACUCAGUCACUGCUGCCCUAAUUCUCUUUUUUGCGUGUCUACUUAUAUUUACUUUAUUUUCUGCCAUUUUUGGAACCCAAUUAAAAUAAAACUGUAGAUAGGGUAGUUGGAUGGAGCAUGUGAUUCCAUGCCAUUUACAUUCGUUUUUUUCUCUCUUUCUUUCUUUUUUGGCUUUUCAUAUAAAAAAACAAAGAAACAAAAAAACUAAAGAUAAAUCAUUUUUAAGGAUUUAUUCUAAUAAUAUUCACUUUAUUUAUUUUGUCAAAUGAAGACUAAAACUUUUUGGUCUAGUAAAAGCAAAUUAUAUUCUUGGUCAACUAGAUUGGAUGUUAUAUUCAUAUAUAUCAUAAUAAUAAGAUAGAUAGAGAGAGGAGAUAGCAGCUUUAAAGAUUUGUUCUAAUAAUCUCAUCUCACCUACUCCUCCUUCCAAAGGUGCAGCGCCUGCCUUGGCCCUUGUCUUAGGAAACCAAAUCUUCCUUUAAGAGGCAAUCAUAUUCAUUUUACGAAUCAAAUUGCCUAGUUUUGCUUCCUGCCUUUUUCCUCUCUCCCUUUCGAUUCUCCGCUUAGACUUUCACAUGCUUCUCAUUACAACAAACUUGCUUUGCUUUAUCCAUUAAUUUAUUAGAGCAUACCAUUGAUAUAUAUUUUGGGUCUUUUCCUUUCACUAAUAUAUAUAAUAUCACUUGCCAAAUAAUCUGAUCAAUUCAAUUGCAAAUUCAACAAAGGUGGCUUACAUUACAUGCAUGGUUUUCAACUGAGGCUAAAGAUAUAUGAACCAACUAUCUAUUAGUCUAUUAUUUUUCUUUCUCAAUAUUAAAGACUCAAAUCGAGAAACAAGUAGGAGACAAUACAUAUAACGGUUAUAUUUGACACAAGUGCUCUAAACAAUCAUUCAUUCAAGUAUAUAUAUAUAUAUAUUAUUCCUCGAUUUAAGUUGUUCAUAUUUUUUAGGAUUUUUUUGGUUUUCAAUUAGCUAUAUCCUUUUUGAAAACCCAAGGGUAGCUAAAUACAUGUUAUGUCUGCCCUAGUAAUAGAUUGAAUAGUAAGAGUGCAAAGGUGACCACCACCAGUAUAUAAUGGUAUCAUUCUUGCUAACUUCAUAAAUACUCAUGCACACACCUUUUUUUUUAUGUUCUUGCUUCUUUCUCUUCCUUUGUUCUUUAUAAGGAUGUUAUCAUUUUCAUUCUUGUAAAGCAUAUAGCAGCUCCAGCUUUAAUGUAUUUGGUUCCCUUUGGGGCAGAAAUAGCGAUUUCUUUUCUUCUACUGUCAGGAUCCGAAACAGGCAGGCAGGCCAUCAUUCUAUAUGUACAUAUCUCAUUUCCUACUCAUGCUGUUUAUGUCCAAAUUUUCCCAAAUUUUUCUUUUUCUGAUCUACUCACGUUUCUUAGACCAACCGCAUUUAUUGUUUUCAUGCCUUGAUUCACUUCUACCCUAAACGACAUGUGAUGCACAUAAAGGCAUUGACAACUACUCAAACACACAAUUCAUUCUAAUAUUAUAGCUUUUGCUUCAAAGUCAGCUAGUUCUUCCACAAUAAUUUCAAUUCUUCUAUUGCAUUUGCACUGUUUUUGAAAAUAGUCUGGUAGAAAUUAGGCCCUCCACCUAUAUAUGAACAAUUGGCAAUAUAUGGAUCGAGAGGCCGGAGACCUUUUAAAUAAUUAUGUAAGCCUUCACAUUUUUAAUGUGGGAUAAACUCUCAACACAAUGUCACUCAAUCAAAUAUAUGAAAAAACUAAUUACGAAAGGGAGCUGUUAUUGGCAAUCCAAAAAAUCAUCAUGGCGUACGUGUUUCCAAAUUCCAGGGGAGCUAAAAGGUAAUAUAAUCCUUAAUUGGAGUGUCUUACCAGAGUCCACAGUUGCUUAAAAUUGUGGCGAUUAAAUAACUUGCGCAUGUGUUUCCAGUUUGAAUUGAAGCCUGAGUUCAGUUGUGUAUAGGCUGUCUGUCUAGAUCUGCACUUGAGAGUGGCUUAGUUGUCUGCCUACAUAUACAUAUAAUGGCAUCUUUGUAGGUUGCUUUCAGCAACAACAUAUGGAGGAGAGAUAUAUAUGGGUAAUCAUAAUCAUUCCCUUUCUUUUCUUUUCUUUUCUUCUUUUCUUUUCUUUUAGUUUUCUUUGGGAGCUUGCGGGGAUCAGAGGCGUGACCUAAAAUUGUAGGCAGAUUUCCAUACUUUGGUAAGCAUCUGAAAAGUUGAUUAAUUUCCAUUCCAAGCUUUAAGCAUGUGUGUGCGCUUUCUGUGGUUAAAUUAAUUUAUAUUCAGUGGUUUGAUUUGAACACUGGGUAGGCAGUAGUGCUUUCUGUUUUUUCAGGGCCCUACCCUUAUCGAUCGUAGAAUCAACAGCACAUUUACUUUGUUUUAAUCUGCGCUUUGACAUAUAAAAGGAAAAGACUAUCUAGCUAGCCGUUGGGAACAUUCCCACCACUUUAUAAGUUUUGUCUGGACUUAAGACCCAGAGGCCACGUAUGUAUGAAGGGACCAAAUUAAAGCUCUGUCUUGGGGGUAAGGCAUAAGAUUCAAAGCAAUCUAACUCAGAAAACACUAUUAUACGGCACCUUCCCUUUUACAAAGCCCGUUAGUAUCCACCUGCUUCCUUCCCAAGUUCCCAACCCCACCACCUUCUAAUGUAUGAUUGAGAGAAUGUGAUUGGGGGGGGAGGGAAGAGGGGGAGAAAAGCAGAAAAAAAGAAGCAGCAAAUUGCAUUGAAUUCCCUUCAACUACUACAACUUUUUAUUUUGUUUAUGCAUUGAUAUUUCCAUAUUUAUGUUUUUACUUAUUGGUUCUUAUGUACUUCAACUUGUCUAAAGAAUUUCAAAUAAAAUGAAGAAAAAUAUCAUUCAGACGAUGCAUGGCAGUUUUUUUAUUUGCUAAUUGAAAAGCAUCGGACCAUGCAUGGCAGUUUGCAGGCAGAAAGUACCUCUCCUCACUCUCAUAUGGCUCAUGGUGCAUGUACAUUACAUGUUUGUGUAGUCUUCACUCUACAGGAUUACCAAAAGAAAUCUUCAGUGUGCAGAUUCAAGAAAUUAAUAAGCACUUGGACACCUAACAUUUAUUAUUAACUUUAUUAUUUACUUUAUUAUUUGACUUUGAGGUAUACACAACAAGCAAUUGCGUACAUGACUUGUGUGACUCUGAGUAAAACAAUAAGAAGAAGUGGCGUGUAAGAAAACACCAAUGAGUCAUAUAUCUGCAAAUUUUCAGGAAAAUGUUCAUGUUUGCUGGAUACAGUGACUUUUCCCCACUGUCUUCUCAGACAAGCAGGGAAAGAGUCGGCUCCUCAAUUUAAAAUAGUCACACUGCACAGCAACACCUCAUGACCUUGUGUAGUAAUUGUUGAACCAAUGUUGAAAGAUAAUCACCUCCUUUUCUUUUAUCUGUAAGCUUUAACUUUUAUUUACUUGAGAAUUGGGUCCAUAAACUGCCAAACAUACGUCGACAUAUCAUAUUGUAAAUCACAUCUCUAAUUUCUAAUAAAGUGAAUUGUCGACUAUGAAUGUACUACCCAAAUGUAGCAUGACUAACAUCUUGAUCUUGUUUAAUGAGUGGUAAAGUGCUGAGAUAUCCAUUAUCAACUCUGCCCCUCGUGUAAAGGGGGACUUGAAAAACAUUUUUUAUUUUCCUCAAUAAAAAAAAAUAUGUAUGAUCAUUGAUAUUUUCAUGUUUUCAGACCCUUGAAGUGAACUGAUAGAAAAAAUAAAAAAAACCCUCAGUUUGUUUACGCAAUCUAUAAACUAGCCAACAUCAAACUUGAUAUAACCACCUAUUGUAUCUUAGAUCACUCACUUCAUUAAAAGAAGGUUUAUUUAUGUACAUGCCUCUUAUGCUUUUAAACUUGUCUCAGAUUACCACAUGUGUUUGCAAACGUCUCAAAAUACCCCCCAAAUUUUUAAAACAAUCUUACGUUAUCCGUUCCGUCAGUUUUAUAGACAUUCCGUUAUGUGCGUUGGGCCCCACUUCAUUUAAAAUAUAUUUGAAAGUAUAGCCAGGCGGUCAUACCCCUUUUUAAAAAAAAUAAAUAAUAAAAAAAAGGCUACAGAAGAAGAAGAAGGAGAAGAAGACCUUCUCAGCCUCUUUGAUUUAUACUGGUUUGAACAUGGAAUUCUGAGCAAGAAAUCCCCUUCAAAACCCCAAGAAGCAACAAACCCAAGUCUCCAAGUGGACCAAUCAGCCCAAGAAGCAGCCCAACAAGAAGUACCAAAUUUCCCGAGCCUUUCAUGCUUGCCAAGGUCUCUAAGUGAUGACCAAUCUUUGAACACCAAAAGGAGCCUCUUCUCUUCUGAUUCUCUCUCCCCACACCCAAUCCUCAUGAGCACCACACCAAAAUUCCAAACAGUUUUCUCUGGUAAACAAGCCAUAGAGUUCUCCAAACCCUAUGAGCACCCAAUUUCUCCCUUUCUUAGAACUGAAAAAUCCUUAUUCGCAGAAGUUAAAGGUUAAAACGAAGUGGGGCCCAAUGCACGCAACGGAAUGUCUAUAAAAUUGACGGAACGGAUAACAUGAGACUAAUUUUAAAAGUUUAAGGAGUAUUUUGAGACGUUUACAAACACAAGUAGUAAUCUGAGACAAAUUUUAAAGCACAUGAAGCAUGUACAUAAAUAAGCCUUAAAAGAAACGACUUACCAUUCUGCUGUGUCACCAUUUUGCUUUCAAGCCCUUCACUACUUUGAUUAUAAUGCAUUAAAUGGCAGCAGCACCUUAUGAUCCAAGGCAUAAGGUACACGAGUUUAAAUUACAUUAUGCAAUCAUAAUCGCACAUAAGGGGCAACUGUUGAUUGUGCUGGUACAAAACAAAAUUCUUCCAGAAGAUAUGUUCAGAUGUUUCAAACUGUUUGGUCAUCCAGAAUUUGAGGUACAAGCCCAAGGACGAGUUUAUAAGGAUCAUGCUACAAUUACAAUCCAAGUCAAUGCAGAGGAAGGACCUGCAUUAUGGCUACAAUAAGCAACCAUCUAGCGUACACAUUUGUAAGGAAAAUUAGACCUCAUAUACAUUCUGUAACCGGUAACAGAUGAUCCAAUUCAUUUAUACCUACAAUAACCAAAAUAAGGCUCUCAACCCAAUAUAUUUCUUUUCUGCAUGUAUUGGAUCAAAUUCAUUUAGAUCCCAGUCAUUCUGUCCCUUGAUAUUUUCUUGAUUAUGAAGACGUGUUUCCUUUGUCAUAUUUGUGUCCAAAAAGCAUUUGAAAAAGAGAGUUGCCAUGAUUGAACCCAAUAACAAAGCUUUAGCCUUUGAGGAACAUAUUUCGGAACUCAUCAUUGGAUUUUGGUUUAUCUUCACCUUGUUCUUCAGUUUUUGGUUUAUUUGCAGUCUGACCAAGUGCAAGGACAUUCCUGGGAAUUGCAAAUGUGUUCCUACCCCUCAGUUGCACAUUGUCGCUUCCGCGGUUAUGACUAGACUGCAGUGCCUGAUGUGCCCUAGGUCCAUUGGAGGUCUCAGCAGAUUCUCUAGACUCAGAUCCCCUGGCUGCACCAGUUUAACUUCAUAAGCGAAAAAGUAUUCAACAAAACAAGCAAGCAUUAUGACCACAUGCAGAAAGGAAGUUCAAAUAGAUUUCUCUCAUAAGAUGAAGAAUUUUGAAAACGAUGGAACAAUGUAAGCACAACAUAUAGGACAGCUUGAAAUAUUCACAUACAGAAAAUUUAGGCAGCCACCUUUGGAAAUGCAGAAAGUUUUAUUAUAUUCGUUCUCAACAAAAGUGGAUAUUGUCUCUAAGUUUAAGGCUUGAAGACUAUUAUAUCCAGUUAGGUUUCAGACUUCAAUUUUUUCAAGAUAUCCUGUGUACUGGGUUUCAGCUUUCGCCCACUUUUGAAAAAAUUAUAAUAAUUAUCCACAAAAGAAAAAAAAUUGAAAGCCACUUGCAAACCAGCAAAGACAGAUACUCUCCUUUGUGAACAAGGUUUUAGUGUAAAUGAGCAAGCAUUAGAUAUAAUCAAACCCCUAAACAACGUAUUGAAUCCAUUCCAAAGGUGCAAAUUAGCUUAAUUGAUAACUCCACUUGUAUCAUACAUGAGACCUUUUUUCAAGUAUGCGUUUCAUAUUGGAGAAUUGAGAAUCCGUCCCUAAGAAUUGAAGAUUUUAUGAAUAUUAACAAUUCAGUUCAACUCAACUAGUUCGAGAUUUGCUACAUUCAAACCGAGCAAAAUUUGAUGAAUAACUAUUUUAUUCCAUUCAUCAGGUACACAAUAUAAAAUGUAUGAUAAAAUUAAGUAUGCAUUAGAGAGUCUAUUCCAUAUAAAUACUCGAAUUCAACCUCAUGUAAUUUUUAUAAAUGCAUCAAUUUGAUUUAGAUUCUGCAUGUGUGCACACACACUUAUGUAGAAAACAAUCCAUUUGGCGUACCAUGUUCUUUUUUCCCAUGCUUUGGAUCUGAUCGUGCAAUGCUCAGCUUCUUCCCAAGAAGCAUCUGCUUAUUUUUUGCUACAGCUGCAACGAGGUGUGCAUCAUCUGAGAAAUCCACGUACGCCAGUCCCUUCACAAGUUCAAUGAAAUAUAAAAUCAGAACCUUCUAGACACGGAUAAAAAGAAAGCAAAGUACAAUGAAGUCAAAUUUUUUAUGUUAAAAACAUACUUUAUUCUGUGCUUGCCACGAUAAGCAAGGUAAUUUUAAUAAAAAAGUGAAAGGCGCAGAAUCAUAAUCCUCAUACACUUGAUUCUGUCAAUUUAAUUAAUUCUAAAAUAAAUGAGACCAUAUCAACAAUGCACUUUUCACUACUGAUUCAUGCACCAUGUCCAAUAAUCCCAUAUACUGAUAGAUAGAUCAAAUUAAGUUCAUGUAUGAAAGAUACGUACGACAACCCCCGAGGUUUGUUCCCCAAAAAAUCUGGCCGGAUUCCUUUCACAAAGGUGUCACAGACAUAAUUACUAGAGAACACUCAUGUGCAUCAUACAACAGGAAUGCUUCCUUACUAAAUUGAAUAGGAAGCUUGAACCUUGCAUACCAGAUGAAUACCUGGCAUACAAUCAAAUGAAACAGAAUAUUACACCAGCCUUCUUUAUAAGCUAUUAACACUAGCCCCAGCCAACCGCCCCAAAUCUCACAUUUUUACCUUUUUUUGUAAAUCUUGUAAUCUGAGUCACAACUGUGCCCCUUAAAUUAAAAUUAAAAAGAAUUCACUCCCCACCCUCUCUUCCUCAAUCAAAGGGGAAUGCCUCUGCUGCAGAGGCCACUUGCUGCUGCCAUGGCACCACAGCUUUUUUAAGUUUCAAGGAAAACAAAUUUUUUAUGAAAGAUAAUAUAAUAUCAUUAUUCUAGCCUUAAAAACUUCCUGCCAUCAACUAACAACCAUAACUCACGGGAUAUGUCCACUAUGCAAAAGAUAAAACAAUUUCAUUAUGCAGUGAAGGAUAAUGAAGCUGUCUUUUAAAGGAAAAAAUAUAAGAGUACAGGGUGAGGAACGUCACUGCUCUUCCAUGUAACUUUUCAAUUUGACAAUUUCAAGUUCUACAAUCCGGGGCUAGUGGCAUCAGGAAAAGGAUGAGUCUUGUAUGGCUUUACAGGUAAAGUUGUGGGGUUUUUAGGGUCAGAACAGGUUUUGGUUGAGAGUGAUAGAACAGGUCUAUACACUUUUCUACUAGUUGUAACAUUGGAAUUAGAUCAAAGCCACUACCAUAGCACAAAAAACAUAAUUAAAUCUUUUUAUUCCUAGAAUCAAAUUAGUCCAUCAUUACUAAAAAGAAGACAAAAUUUCUUCAGAUCCAGAACGUAGUUAUAUGCCAGGAUUAUUUCAUUGUCAUUCUCUAUAUAUAUAAAGUUAUGACUCUAAAGUGUCUUCCCAAAUAGCCCUGAAUUAUCAGAGAUAGUUGUUGUCAACUUCAGCUUCAAUAUCAAUCCUCUUAUGCCUCCAAACCAUUAAACCAUUCAAGGCCCCAACCCAUCUAUGAACCUUUAGACCCCUCCUCACCACCAAAUCAUUAAAUUCUUGACAUUAGCCACUUCUAGCAUCCCCCGUAUGAUAGUGAAAGAUGCCUAAAUUGUCCUAGGUCAACUAUUCUUAUCAACUAAACCAGCCUUUUAGAGAUACUGAAAAUUACAAAGGAUUUGCACGCAACUAUAAAGAAAAGAUGGUCCCAUGCCUUUUUGACGGCAGCACACUAACAUUAUACAUGUUAGCCAAGUUACCACCCUAGUGUCAGCAUAACUUUUAUAUCUGUGUAUGUGUUUUAAGACUCUUGUUAAUGCAUGAUAGCAUGACAUUUGUAGCAAAGUGCUAAAUUAUAGUACAUCCAGUACAAAAUACUCAACCCAAAGCACAACACACAGAUAGGAAAAAAAAUUAAAUUGACAGGAGGGAGAGAGAGAGAGAGAGAGACCCUUGACUUUCCACUGAACUUGUCAUGCAGUAAUCUAAUAGCAACCACUCCCCCAACAUCACUGAAGAAUUGACGCAGAUGUUCAUCAUUUGCCUGCAAAAUACCAACAGUUUUCUAAGAUCACAUAUGUGCGUUAAAAAGAAGAGAAUGAUAAGGGAUACUGGGGGCGUAUACUUGCCUUAAGGUUAAUAUUUGAUACAAAUGCAGUGCACUGGUCAGCAUAUGCUUUUGUUUUCUCUGGAACACGCUCUUUCAUCCGUUGCUCAUUUUGUAUGUCCGGUUUGUCACCCUUGGGUUUGAUCUUUUCCACUGUUUGUUCACCUGGGUUCAGAACAUCAGAAUCCUUCCCAUGUGCUUUCUUUGGCUUUUGAGAUGCAUCUUUCUGCCUCUUUGCUGGAUGAUGUUCAUCAGGUAUCUCUGAAACUUGCUUUCUCUUGUCACGAACAUUCUUCUUGGAGGAAUUCUCCCCCUCUUCUGUCAAUUUGGACUCUUGCUGUGACCUAAAUAAUUGAAGCUCUUCCAGGCGAGGAGUGACCUAAAAAGAGGAGAAGAAGUCAACUAUAUCUAUUCAAUUAACAAGUCAAUACACAUGCAUACUUGCUCAAAUUGAACAUCUAUUCAAUUAACAAGGCAAUACAUAUGCAUACUUACUCAAAUUGAACCAAAUAGGAUACAGGAUAUAGAAGAACUAGUACUGGUAUACUCAGUUUUGAUAGAGGAAACAUCCAUUCCAUCAUUUUAAUAUGAUGAAUAGUUUGUUAUUGAUUGGGUGAUAAAUCUCCAUUAAGAUUACCUAAGUUGAGAACAUCGCAAAAACCUUAUGAAGCACAACCCUCAGCAUGAUUUUCAUAGUACAGUUCUUUUGACAACCUUUCCAACUUUAUUUUAUCAUUAACUGUUCUGUGACCCAUAAUAAAGGGAACAUAAAGUAGAAAAAUUACCUUCACAUUCACAUAGACUAAAUGAUUUAAAUUUCCAUACAACAUUCAAUUCGUACGCGCAAAAGAGAGAAAAUGUACCUUCUGUACUGCACGGUCAAAAUCAUCCAACGAACCAAACUCCCUCUCAAAGCGUAACCAUGAGUAGCAGAUGUCCUGAAUUAUUCUGUUUUUUAGAGAGGGAAGGCAUCAUCUAAUCCCACAUGUAUUAUGUAGCAAGUGAACAAACUUCUAUAUAAUUAAAAAACACAAAUAGACAACAUCUAAUAGAACCUUAAAACAACAUUAUUUUCCACAUCAUAAAUUAAACAAGCAAUGUCUCAAGGUAGUUAGAUUUUGUAAUGAAACUACAUGUCAACUAUAUGAGUUGGUAUAAAUGCUCACAGAAUGUGAACAACUACUAUCAAAAGACAAGGCUUUUUAGGAAAGCGGGUAUGCAAGACUGAUAUAAUUUACUAGACAUUCCACCGAAUCACUUAAUAACAUAAUUCAAAAAUAAGUUCCUAAAUUUUCAAUUAUUGAGUGCUUUUGUUUCCUUUUCCAGAAACUUUAUUUUAUGUUGUUUUGUAAUUUUUUGCGCUGAAUUUCAGGUGCAGUAAGAUCAUUUUACUUGGAUACGUUGUGUACUAUAAAGUUAUAAACACCAGAUUUCUUGCAUUGACUCAAACUAGAAGCGAAUUUUUAAAACAUAGGAACGAAAUACAUUAUCUAGUGUUCAACAUGGAAGAAAUUGUAUUCUCAUCACAUGUACCUAUCAAGAGAAAACACUUCUCUAGUUUGAAAAAAAUCAUUGAUUGUAGAACCUGGUUCUGAAAAUUCUACAACAUACUUUAGGUUGAAAGAACUGGCUUUCAUUCAUAUUGAAGGCUCUGGGAUGGUGUUCUGUUUGUUGGUCUAGGUUUUCUCUUUCGACUUUUGUGUUUUUUCUGUUGUCUUAGGUGUUUCAUGGACUACUUAUCCAUGCAUCUUGUAAUUCCUUUUGUUUUCUUUUAAUAAAACUUUGUGUUUAUUAUCAUAAAUAAAUAAAAGUAAUUGGCCGAUGAACGCUGAUGUAAAUGUAAAGUUGAAGCCAUAUGAUCCAAAUACACCUGAGGGCUUUAAACCCCAAAAGGCUUACAGUCAAAUUCUACACCACACCUUGUGGCUGGGAAAGGGGAGAAUGUUGAAAAUUUGAUACACCAUAGGUUGAACAAAUUUGGAAACUGAUACUCAUCUAGUCUAAUCUCAUUGCCUGCUACAAAACAACCAAGAUAUUAUAUUUGAUUUCUCUGCUAAAUAUUUGAAUAGGAUUAUGGAAGAGGAACAUAGUGUAUCAUACUCAAACUACAAUGCACACAGAUCAGAACCCAAAAACAAGCCCAAGAACAAAGAACUAUUAAGCUGAGUAAACUAGGUUUGAUUGGAAGAUAUAGAUGAGGAAAGAAGACCUUACCUCUGAACCAGUUCCUGGAAAUCUUUUACUGUAGCAUCUCCUAUAUAGAGACCGGGCUUCACUCACAUGGCCCAAAUCAGCUUCCAUAGUUAUAUAACCUUGCCAGGCUUCCAGCAUUGAACCACUAACAGAACAAACAGAAAAUUAAGCAUCAUACCAAAAAAAAAAAAACCAAAAACAAAAAAAAAACCAAAAAAAAAAAAAAAAACAACAGCACUAACAACAAUCAUGCCAAGGUAACAAUCCAGAUUUAGGAAUGCCAGAAUGGCCAGACCAUAUCUUAAGUAAACUUUCCCACACUCCACGAGCUGCCUGUAAGUCCUUAUGCAGAUUUAGCUCUAGACGGGCCCAAUAAGCAUGCAAACGUAACAAACCAUCCGUGUUCUUCAGGUAUUGUGAAAAGUAUUCUGAUGCAUUCUGAAAGUAUAAAUUGUUAGAAUUUCCAUGAGUGUGAACAAUACUUUCUUUCUCUAAAAUGCAAAAAGCCUUCAAAGUCCUUAGCAGAAUCCUAACAGCAUAUAGAUUGUAUUGUUCAGGACCACACCUUCAGGACUCCUAAAUUACAUAGCAAUAAACGACCAGAAGAUCACUUUGAAUUUUUUAGGUCAUCUACUUGAAAUUGACAUAAUCAGAAUUGUGGGCUCAAAUAGGCUGAAUAUAUGUAGGAAUAUUUGUAGCCAGAAUAAAGGACAACUAGUGAUUUUGUCAUAGAGCCUAGAUUCCACACAACAAAAAAUAAGUUCAACAAUUAGGUCAUUACGUGAACAAGAUUGACAUAGUUAGAUUUGUGGGCUCAGAAAAGCUGAAUAUGCAUAGGAACAUUUGUAGCCAAAAUAAAAGACUACUAAAAAAAGAGUUCAAUAACCAACAAUUAGGCCAUUACACAAACAAGAUACUCUGAUGUAUGUAUAUAUGUAGUUUUAUAUACACACAUAAAAGGCCAAAUUGUAACAUAUUUAAUAUAAUAAAACUAUUUUACCCUCUUUCUUUUCUUUUCUUUCUUUCUUAUGCAUCUAUUUCUGAAACUCAGGAAGCCUAACGUUCCUAUUCUAGUGUUAGAGAAUGUUGGGAGUGGAAAUGAUUUCAUCAGGAUACCAACGGAAUUUUACUUUUUGUAAGAAUAAACAUUAGGGUAUAAUUAUCAUUGUGAUUUAUUAUGAAGUUAAAACUAGGGAAUGGGAAUAAGAAACCCACCUCUUCUUUUAGGAAUGCAAAACCUCCAUUUGUGGGUUUUCGAUACCCGUCAAAACGGCAAACCCGAUCAAUUGCCAAACAUGGGAAAGGGAUCUCAUAUCCAUUCCCAAAGUGAUAGAACUGGGAAUCACACACUACCUUGAAUCUUCAAAUGUAUUAUCACAUAGGAGAAGAGUUACAAGACCAUUCUCUCCUUUACAAUCCAUUAAAGUUCCCUUCAAAUUUGCCACAGAGAAGCAAAUUCACAUGGAUUCACAAGUUACCUCAUCAAUUAAAGAAAAAUUCAAACAAUUUUCCACUUGUAAUUCCCUUCUAUAGAAAAAGUAUCACUAAUAGAACUACACCUUGGUAGUUAGAAGGAUAAGAAAUUCCACAUAUACUUCAUUUAAGUGAAAGAUAUUAAAGCUUCACCAAGGUCAAGUAGUGAAUGCUUUUGUCAUCCGGCAUGACAGACAACAAAUGUGACUCCGAAUUUUUUUCCCUGGACACAAUCAAUGUGACUGCUCACCCUUUAAUAAUACGCGUUUGAUACUGUUACAUUCUUACUAAAUGAACCGAAAGAAGAAGGAAAAAAAACUACAAAAAAUAAAGCUGAUGUAGUUCUAGCUCAAAACCAUGAAUUGUCGUAGAAUAUAUUCUACAUGUAGAAUAGUAUUUUCUGUAAGUUUAUCUUAAUUAAUGUACGCAUAUAUCAAGUUCAGAUGUGACUUCCCUUGAUUUCUUUUUUUUUUUCUUUUCCUUCAUUCGAUAGAUUACAUGCUCAUAAUGUUUUUUUUAUAAUAGAAACAAACUACGAAUAUUAAUAGGACUUCAAUCGAUUCGAGCGUGGUCACACAUAUAUUUGUACACAUAUAUAACACCUAAUUUUUAUUUUUUUUUAUAUUCAAAGUAAAAGGUCACAACUGAAAUCCCGCCCUGCACAAUCCCAUUUAAUUCAAAAGACCAACACACACAUACUACGUAUUUGCAAAUUGGUAAUUGUGGAGUUUAAUUCCUAACUACUUUUCCUUAUAAUCUUCACGCUGAAUAUUAGCAAAAUGAAGUGUUUGUUUACGUAAGAAAAAGAUAAUAACACACCUGAAAGGUUUCCCUUAUUAAUGAAUAAUCCAAGACACUCUCUCCUUCAACAGGGCAUGAGAUUCUUCUUCUUAAGCCAUCUAUGCGGGUGAGGUACAAAUCCAGGAACUAAAAAAUCGUAGUUCAAUAAACAAACAUAUUCAGAAAAACAUUGAACAUAAAUUCCGAAGACAGACAGACAGACAAAUCAAAUAUAGGAAUUUAUGUACCUCAUCGAGGGUUAGAAUGCAUUGCAGGGACUUCUCAAACACCUGAAAAAUGAGCAAUAAUUUAUAAUUUGGCAGACCACUUUUUCACAAGAAAUCAGAAUGGACUUUGGACACUAUAUAAUUCUCAAAACAUAAUUUUUAUUGGUUCUUCUUAUGUUUUUUCACUUCUGGUUUGGUAAAGGCAUCACACUGGAGUCAUAGUGAAAGUUGAACUUAAGUACUCGUUGUAGAAUAUAUUGGUUGAGAUUAAGUCUGAUGAGAAGCAAACUCUGUAAUUACCAUUGCAUUCUCUUCAGAGUGACCUACUUGCUCUACAGUUUGAUUCACUAGUUUUUUUGAACGUGUCAAGAGUCAAAUGUUUUGGCAUUUCUUCACAAUCAGAGUCCAAGACUGUCAUUCAUCCCAAAAGACUGUCAUUCAUCCCUCACUGUAAUCAGAGCUCAAAAUCAACCCCGCCCUUCUUUACCGUAAUACAACGUGAUCACAAGAAAUUAAAUAUGUAUCGUGUAGAUGGAAAUUUUGGAUAGAAAAGGAAAUUAACAUAAUAGCAACAUCAGGAAUACCUUUCUAAAGCAUUGAGGAAAAUACCAUCGGACAAACUUUGCCUUCAUAUUUUCUCAUUGAAUUAGAGCUUUUACAUGAAAAGAUGGAUGGUAGAGAACACCAAAAAGGCCAAAUGCAGGGGGCAAAAAUAGUUAAGACAGACUUGAUUAAGGACAACAAAGGUUCACACAUCUAAAAGUUAAUGUGGCCCAGUCAGUUUACCAAUUUACAGAAGGAAAAAAAAAAGCAAGUUGGCAUACUCUGAGUAACUGUUCAGAGCUAGUUCUUUCCUUUGCUUGGGCAUUUUCUUUUAAAACAACUAGGCAGCUAAAUACGUGAUGCAUGAUUUGUAGAGGAGCCCACAGCUUCAAAGAUGUAUUCAUGUCUGAUGCAACUUAAUAACCAAUUUAAAAACAAGUUUGCAACAAGUAAUUAAUAACCAAAUUAGAAACAAUCAAACAUAAGUCAAUAAAAGAAUGCUCUCGCCAAACAAGACUGAAAUCUAAAACGUACAGCAGCAAUCUCUUUCUCAGAAGCAUGCCCACGCUCCAAGGAAAGCAAAUAUCGGACCCAAAGCUCUCCAACACAGGGGCAAUUCUUCACAGCCCUGGAGUACACAUUGGUUAUAAUACUUCCAACCUGAAAAGGUAACAUAAAACAUUAAUUACUUAAUCAGCAGAGAGUUGCCCUCAAAACAGAAAAUAUAUAAUAAGAAAUGAACAAGGAAAAAAACCUUUAAUGUUUUAUCUAAAUAGUGAGUAUAAUCAAGCCAGAGAUAGCUGGAUAUAGGAAAUUCAGUAAUAGCGCGUUCAUACAACAUCUGAACCCGAGCUGGAUCUCCAGAAGACUGUUCAAAUUUCAAGUAGUUCUGCAGAACAGAAUAAAUUAUUCUUUCCAUAAACUGCAAACUUAACGCGUGAAGUAAAUAAAUAUAUUGGGGGAAAUCACAAUGACAAUCCUAUACAAAAGAAAGGAAAAAAAAGAGGCAGAAAAUACUAACAGUAAGUUCAAACAAGACAAGGAUGCAAGGAUAUCAGAAGCCAAAAUGGCCAAUAAAAAGGAAUAAUACAAUGUCAUUUCUAACAUAAAUACUUCUUUAUUCCAAAAUUCUAGGAAGUACUAAUUCUAAAUGAUACAUACCAUGAAAUGUUGAAGUUUUUCUGAGUCAGACAUAUCCUGCCGACAAAUCUGUUCUUCAAGAUGAACACGAGCAUUAUACAUUUCCAACGCCUUUUUGUAUGCUGAGGCAACAUGGGAUGAAAUCCCAUCCAGGUCACUUGAGCCAGCAUUAAGAAUGUUCCCUUGUUCCACCUCCCAUGCCUUGUAAUCCAAAAGUGUUGACCUCAUAUUAACAUGGGGAACUGACAACUGACGGUGGAAUAUAGUACGGAUGCGCUGAAUCUGCUUGUCUCUUGCCUGUGAUGUGAGAAGCAUUUCUUAUCUAUAGAUCUCCAAAAAUUAUUUAAGUAUCUAAAAGCAGCAAUACUUAUCCAAAAGACAACCAUAACAACAUAUGAAUAAUAAAUAACUGGUAAGCGAUCAAAGCAACAAAACUUGUUGGGGCAUUCAAAUCAACACAUAUAUGACAGCGAUGCAUCAUUUUUACGUUUGCAGGUAGAAUUUGAACUUUCCUUCUAAUUUUUUUUAUAACUAAAAACAAUCAUUUAUUUAUUUCAAGCAGAAGGUUAAAGGUUAAAUCUGAAGUGCAAAACACCAAAUACCUAAACCGCAUUGAAUUAUGAAAGCGCAGUUGUCAAUAGUCUGCUCAAGGAUAAAAUUUUGUGUACCCUCGCUCUAUUAGAACCACCCACCACAAAAAAAUUAUGUUCCCUCCCACUGUUUUGGCAUUAUCUGGCUCAGCUUCAACUUUUUUGCUUUCCUCUACUCAACUCAACAAGGUGAAUCAGAACUAUGAGUCCUUUUCUUUUUUUGUUUUAGGUUUUUUUAUCUCUGUUUUGUUGUUGGGACUUGCUUUAUCUUUAGUUUCUAAGAAAUGUAAAUUUUAACUGAAAAAAACAAGCUGUAAAAAUGUUUAAGGAAACUACAAUAUAACUUAGUUAUCAUAAAACUCUGUUCAGAAUUACAAUUAUAUGCUUUAUUCUUAAAGGGGUGAACAACAUAAAUAACUUCUCUGGUUUUUUUUUUUUCCUAAAAGAAACGUAAUUUUAUUAAAGUAGGGCAACUAAUUACAAAGAGUGAAUAAGGAAUCCACAAGCCGGGAAGGAACAAUUAACAAGAAAGUACAAUUCAAAAAAUGUAAAAUAGAACAUGCUCAAUAAACGAAUGAGCAUAAUCUUAAAAUCAGCCGAAACCGAUGCCCAUAGAGUUGCCCAGAACCUCACUCUAUCCCAAAGUUCAUCUACCCCCACACCCUUAUAAUCCUCAAAGAUUCUUUUAUUGUGCUCCAUCCAAAUGUUCCAGAAAACUGCCAACAACAAACAACCCCAUAAUGGUUUGGCCUUCUUGCCCCUUCCCAAAGCCUCAAACUUAGUACUCAUAAGCUCAAAGCAUCCUUUUGGAAUAACCCAGUUAGCUUUAAAGAAAACAAUACAACACAUCAAAGAACCGUAAAAACAGUGCUAAACGACACUCUUCCCAUGCAUUAAAAAAAAAGCUUCAGGGAAUUCUUAUUCUCCUCCAAAGUAUUCUGAAUUUUUCUUCAACAUUCUUCAAGAUUUCUACUAUUUCUUUUCUUUCACUCCAAACAACCUAUAGGCUUUUCGUUGUUCCCUAACAGGUAUUAAAAGAAGAUAUCUGAAUCAUAACUAAAAUUAGAUACUGAUCCACAUAUUUACAUCUGUAUGACUUAACUAUUAAAAUAUCACAAACCUAAUCGUAAUAUUAACAUGUAAAUUUGAAGCAAAGCAAAAAGAUAUUGGCAAAAAAGAAAAGAUCACAUAGAAAUGUUGAACAAUGAGACUAAAAAAAGUCAAAUAUGGAGUUCAGAUCAGAUUGUAGUCUCUCUCUCGUUUUUACUAGGAAACAAAAACUUCGGUGAAAAAAGAAAGAUGUAAUACAUGAAAAGACAGCCAAGAUGUCCAAUUUACCACUACAAACCUGAUUAUCAGUCUCAUCAGUAGCAUCAAAUAUAGCUUGCUCAAAUUUCCUGUAGGCUUCCCAUAGUUUACUGCCUUCAGAAACAUGCAAACCAGCUGCAGUAAGAGCGCGUUCAAAUAGAUCUCUUGCCUUUAAAAUACCAGCAGGUGAACAUUCUCUUACUGAGGGAUCAUUUUCUUGAACAAAAUCUAAGUAGUCACGCCAAAGAGAGAUGGACUGCAGUUGAAGGUAAUAUAGUUAACUGUCGAUACUCCAAACAAGCAAUUCUUUGAUCAUUAACAACAGAAAAAGAUGAGCUAAAAGUAAUGCAAUAAUCAAGCUUCAGUCUUGGAAAAAGUUGCAAAGCAUUACACAUUUGAUUGUGACAAAAAGCACAGAUAAGAGAAACCUUUUGCAGAGAUAUUGAGGCGAGUUAUGUGGAAGCAAAACAGAAACAUUGCUGGUAUGGUAUUAUUCUGCUCUAAUUGAAGGAAAUGGAUGGCAUCCUAUUUCAUUUCAUAGUUAAUAUUGUUUCUUUUGCUUCUCAUUGUCAUUUUUCACCCAUAAACUGUCCAAAAGUAAUAUAAAUAUGACAUGACAUAUUAAGAUAUAAGAAUUUUAAAAUUGCAUAUGUUCUGGAAGACAGGAGCAUAACCAACCAGAUACUCAAAGACUCCUCGCUCAUAAAGCUUUUCAAUAGCAGGAAAAGCAUCAGACCUGCAAAGUGGAGAAAAUAGAGUGAUCUCAAAUCAAACAAUAAUGUAAAAAGAAAAAUAAACGACCCAAAACAGGCACUAUUUUUUCUUUUAUGUUUCCAUUGUCGUUGUUUUUAAAUGUGAAGAGCACUAAGGCUAACAGAAGUGCAUUGAUAACGAAAAGAGAGUACCCAGUGGACAGAGAAGCUUCGUCCUUAGCCCAAUCCUGCCACAUAGAAGGGGUUAACGGAAACAGCUCAUUCAUAGCUUCCCUUGCUUGCCUCAGUUUUUCAAUGUCAGCUAUCUGCCUCAGAAUCUUUAUGUACUAGAGCAGUAACAAUAAGAAUUCCAAUUCAGGUUUUUUACUCGGCAACCAAACAGAGGGUAAUCAUAUAACAAUGCAUAGCCAAAGAAGAAAAAAGAAAACAGAUAAUGGAAAUUCACAAGUGUAAAUACUUGGACAUGAGCAUCGUAGUUGCCAGGGUUAGUGGAGAGCUCGGCUUCUAGGGUUUGGAGCUGCAGGUUUUUCUGGGCUUGGUCUCCGUCCUCUGAGCCAGAAUCAGAGUCGGAAUCAGAGGAGCCAGGGUCUUGGUCAGGGAGGUCGGGCAUGGGUUGGUCUCCAUUGUUGUCAUCUUCAGAAGUAAGAGUCUUUGAUUGAGGGUUUAGGGUUUCUUCUUCCAUGAACUCCGUUGGUAUUCCUUUUUUUCUUUAUUUCUUCCACUGAGACCAAAUUGUAAGCUUUUUACUUGUAUGCGCGAGAUGGGGACCUAUUGGUAUUAUUGGGAGGGAUGCCUCUCUCUGGAGUUUCUGUGAAAAUGGGCAAAACUUCACCCAGUUUUCAAACCGCCACAAGAACUUAAGGCGCAUAAAUUAAAAUUAUGCAGAAAUGAAAAAUGAAGAGCCUAGAAAAGGUUCAGAAGUUUUUUUUAAAAAUUAUUUUGGGUGCUAAUUUUCUCCUUUUUAUCCAUUUAUGCUCCCUUCUGAAUUUCCCACACUCUGUUUUUUCAUUUACACUCCUUUUUGUUUCUUAACAGUGCUGAUUUAAAAGUAUUAAAAAAUUUUAAAAAAAAUGUAAAUAAACAAAUAAGGGUAGAAAAAUCAACUUUUUAAACUUUUAUAAAAGGAAUACUGAAAGGAGGGGAAAAUUGAACCUAAGAACAGAUGCAGAGGUAAAUUACAGGUUUUGAAAAAAAUUUAUUUUAAUACAAGUGAUAUAUGAAGGGAAAUUCAAAUGGGGUAGAGAGCUGAUUAAAAAAUAAUAAAAUUAAUUAAAAUAUAUUUAAAAAAUUAAAAUAAAGUGUAAGUGAAUAAAAUAAGAAUGCAAAAAUCAACUCUUGGAAUAGAAUACCUGCUCUUAAAUGCUUGGACUAUAAAAGAUUUAAACAAGGAUUCAAAUAUAUCCAUACUUAUUAUUCUUAUGCUGAAAAUUUAUUACAAUGUAGUUUCGUUGUAGCUUGACUUUUAGAAAAUUCGUUGAGUAAUAAUGUCUCAUUUUAUGGAGUCCACCUUUUUCUUAGGAGUAAUAGAAAUAUUGAUAAUUUUUAAAAAAUAAUUGAUAAAUGAGAAAUGAUAUAAAAAAGGAAAUAAAUUAAUAAAUGUUAAAAGAUUUAAAAAAAUAAUGUUUUAACUUCUCAUUGCAUUACAAAACCCUAAAUGAGACAUUACUUCCAUUUAAAAUUUACCAUGAAAAUUGUGGUAAAAUGAAGAUAAAGAAAAUAUAUAAUUUUAUUAGAUCUCAGAUCAUGCAUUACAAAAACUUAAUUUGGUUCGGGCCCCAUCCAAAGUCAUCAACACAAAGAUACUUUAUUAUACAUAUUGAUAUAUAGGUAACUUGGAAAUCAUGCGACCUUGGCACUGGCAGCCUUGAUAUCCGCAUCAUCGGAGGAAGUAGUGUGGUGAGCAAUGUCGAUGAGCUUAGGCUGCCUUUUCUUCUCCGCAGCAAACUUUGGCACCGUAAUUCUCAGCACCCCGUCCUCAAGAUGAGCCUUGAUCUGAUCCACGUCAGCAUUCCCAGGCAGCCUGAACUGCCUCCAGAACUUGCCAUUUGUCCUCUCAGCUCUGUGCCACUUGUCGCCUUCCACUUGUUCCUCCGUCUUCCUUUCUCCGCUGAUCCUGAGAACCCUGUUCUCCUCCACCUCUAUCUUCACGUCCUCCUUCUUCAUCCCCGGAAUGUCCAAUGUG
rnacentral:lncRNA from 1 species